rnacentral:rRNA from 1 species
UACGUAGGAUGCAAGCGUUGUCCGGAAUUAUUGGGCGUAAAGAGCGAGCAGGCGGUCUAUCAAGUCAGAUGUGAAAUAUCCCGGCUUAACCGGGAGGGGCCAUUUGAAACUGAUAAACUAGAGUGAAGCAGAGGAUAGCGGAAUUCCCGGUGUAGUGGUGAAAUGCGUAGAUAUCGGGAGGAACACCAGUGGCGAAGGCGGCUAUCUGGGCUUUAACUGACGCUGAGGCGCGAAGGCUAGGGGAGCAAACAGG